CGCAAACUCCAGGAAGAAAAGACGGGUGCAGAGUCCCAUGAUUGCGGAAACAGUACGCCGUCUUCACAACUCGGAGACAAACACUAGGCGAUACGAGCCGGCGCAAGGACUAACUUUGCCUCAUAACGAAGCCGUGACAAGCUAUUUAGUGCGGGCUUUGUCGACAAAUCCAAAUCUUCAUGAUGCUGACAAAGACAACAUUGUGUCUGCCUGCAAGACGUAUUACGAAACCUUACGCAGGAGCUACAGGUACCAGCAGCCUGAUCUUUCGUUGCAGGCAGAAGCAAUGAAGUAGCCGGCUCGUAGUCGCUCCAGAAGAAAGAGGCUGUUUGACGCGAGACGAGGUGUCCUUGCUAUGGACGAGAUGGAUGUAUGGCAGUGUGCUACCGUAGACCUGAUGUCGGAUGAGGAAAAUGGGGUGGUGGAUGGGGUGUCUGGGUGGAUCGUUAAGCCUCCGC